UACGGGGGGGGCAAGCGUUGUUCGGAAUUACUGGGCGUAAAGGGCUCGUAGGUGGCCAACUAAGUCAGACGUGAAAUCCCUCGGCUUAACCGGGGAACUGCCUCUGAUACUGGAUGGCUUGAGUUUGGGAGAGGGAUGCGGAAUUCCAGGUGUAGCGGUGAAAUGCGUAGAUAUCUGGAGGAACACCGGUGGCGAAGGCGGCAUCCUGGACCAACACUGACGCUGAGGAGCGAAAGCCAGGGGAGCAAACGGG
rnacentral:rRNA from 1 species